AAGUGAUAAUAAUGUAUGGGUAUUAUCACCCAAGAUGAAAACAAUUGGUGUAACUGGAAAGUACUUAUCCAAGAUGGAGGGUAGUCUGCCAAUAUGUAUACUAUACAUCAAGUAUCAGCAUCCUGGUGGGGAUUCUCCAGAAGUCACAAGCUCAGUUAAGAUCUUUGAGGAAGACGAUUUGUCACCUACUAGCAAUCAGCAACAUACUGGAGAAAAACCUCAAGAAGAACACAAAGAGUUUCCAACAAGAGUAAGAACAGUAAGAUCUUCUCCAUCCCAUGGAAGGCAGGCAAGACGCACAAGAUCAGCUCAUCUAAGGCGCAGAAAGAUGGCAACAUUUUCAAAUGAAGAGGGUCCAUUUUCAGACAAAACUGCCCGAAGAGGAAAUACCUUACAAUAUGGGUACGUAGGCGGCCAUGGUUUUCUUAUACCCUCGUACCAGCACUCCUGAUACUGGCUAUUGCAUUAGCCUGUUGUGACCAUGCCCGCAGAAAAUUCCCACUGAAUAUCAUUUUGUUAUUAAUAUUUGUAAGUAUUAAUUCAAAAUAAUUUUCAUUUUACGACAGCUGAUUUUAUUGAUUACUGUUA
rnacentral:lncRNA from 11 species